AGCCUAUUAUGCCGUUCCUGCAUUGCUAUAAAGUAAUACCUGAGGCUGAGUAAUUUAUAAAGAAAAGAGGUUUCAUUUUACUGAUGUUCUGCAGG